CCGAGCCGGGCGGCCAGGGGCCGAGGGGCGCCCGCCGCUAGCCGGAGCGCCCGGGCGCCUCCCUUUGCUCUUGGUAGCGUCGGUCCGCACUCCCUGUGACCCAGGACGUCAUGAUGCCUGUCUGUUUUCUCAAUGAUAACUUGGCAGAAGAAGAGAGAGGCUGCCAGGUUCUCCUCGGGUGGUUACGUGGCCCAGGCAGAGAGGCGGCACCCAGACGGCAAGGAGCAUCCACCCGAGGCCAGACACCCCUGCUCUCGGCUCGCACUUGCUGACUUGCAUCUCUCAGUUGCAUUCCCAGCUCUAUUUUCAUCUGAGAUAUUCACUGCCCAGGUUCAGAAGGGAGAAAAUUUUCCUUGGCAACCAGGUUCAACUGGAAAAAAUAAUCAAGAUGUCACCUGACGCUACAAGUCACCAGCUAUGUUCUCAGCUCUGUGGCCCUGCCAGAAGCUGAACCAGCAGAGGAAACUCAGCGUCAUGGAAAGAACACUAAACUUGGAGUCAGAACACAGGAGUGGGGGUCUUCUAAUUUCUACCUCUGAUGGCUUCUGCGACCCUGGACAAGUCAUUGAACUUCUUACAACCUGGAUUUCCUCUUUAAUAGCUUUCCUACCAUCCUCAGGGAAGGAUCUUUCAAGCAUUGGUGGUUAGGUAAUCGUCAAAGGGGUGCAAUGACUGGACCCAACCACACGCUUCAAAAGUCACCUUGAUGUCAAGAUGCCAGCCCCCUCCCCUCCCUGCCAGAGCCCAGCGUGGCCCAUCAGGCCUUCCUCUUUACCUCCAUCAAUGCGCUUCCACGACUAUAUUUAUCAUAUUUUAAUUAUGGUUACUACAUCUGUCUUUGCUGCUCAGCUGUAACUGCCUUUAGUGUCACACAUGUUUCUUUUUAUUCUUAGUGCCUAGCACACAGUAGGUGCUCCAUAAAUG